GAUGAAGAACGCAGCGAAAUGCGAUAAGUAGUGUGAAUUGCAGAAUUCAGUGAAUCAUCGAAUCUUUGAACGCACAUUGCGCCCCUUGGUAUUCCAUGGGGCAUGCCUGUUCGAGCGUCAUUUGUACCUUCAAGCCCUCCUUCGGGAUGGGCCUGGUGUUGGGGCUCGGCCGCCAUCUCCGGCGGCCGUCCCCUAAAUACAGUGGCGGUCACGUCGCGACUCCUUUGCGUAGUAGAAACACCUCGCUCCGGAUAGCAACGCGGUCCACGCCGUAAAACCCCCAAUUUUCAAUGGUUGACCUCGGAUCAGGUGGGAAUACCCGCUGAACUUAAGCAUAUCAAUAAGCGGAGGA
rnacentral:misc_RNA from 1 species